rnacentral:rRNA from 1 species
UGUGUGUUAGUGGAAGCGUCUGGAAAGGCGCGCGAUACAGGGUGACAGCCCCGUACACAAAAAUGCACAUGCUGUGAGCUCGAUGAGUAGGGCGGGACACGUGGUAUCCUGUCUGAAUAUGGGGGGACCAUCCUCCAAGGCUAAAUACUCCUGACUGACCGAUAGUGAACCAGUACCGUGAGGGAAAGGCGAAAAGAACCCCGGCGAGGGGAGUGAAAAAGAACCUGAAACCGUGUACGUACAAGCAGUGGGAGCACAGAGCAAUCUGUGUGACUGCGUACCUUUUGUAUAAUGGGUCAGCGACUUAUAUUCUGUAGCAAGGUUAACCGAAUAGGGGAGCCGAAGGGAAACCGAGUCUUAACCGGGCGUUAAGUUGCAGGGUAUAGACCCGAAACCCGGUGAUCUAGCCAUGGGCAGGUUGAAGGUUGGGUAACACUAACUGGAGGACCGAACCGACUAAUGUUGAAAAAUUAGCGGAUGACUUGUGGCUGGGGGUGAAAGGCCAAUCAAACCGGGAGAUAGCUGGUUCUCCCCGAAAGCUAUUUAGGUAGCGCCUCGUGAAUUCAUCUCCGGGGGUAGAGCACUGUUUCGGCAAGGGGGUCAUCCCGACUUACCAACCCGAUGCAAACUGCGAAUACCGGAGAAUGUUAUCACGGGAGACACACGGCGGGUGCUAACGUCCGUCGUGAAGAGGGAAACAACCCAGACCGCCAGCUAAGGUCCCAAAGUCAUGGUUAAGUGGGAAACGAUGUGGGAAGGCCCAGACAGCCAGGAUGUUGGCUUAGAAGCAGCCAUCAUUUAAAGAAAGCGUAAUAGCUCACUGGUCGAGUCGGCCUGCGCGGAAGAUGUAACGGGGCUAAACCAUGCACCGAAGCUGCGGCAGCGACACUGUGUGUUGUUGGGUAGGGGAGCGUUCUGUAAGCCUGUGAAGGUGUGCUGUGAGGCAUGCUGGAGGUAUCAGAAGUGCGAAUGCUGACAUAAGUAACGAUAAAGCGGGUGAAAAGCCCGCUCGCCGGAAGACCAAGGGUUCCUGUCCAACGUUAAUCGGGGCAGGGUGAGUCGACCCCUAAGGCGAGGCCGAAAGGCGUAGUCGAUGGGAAACAGGUUAAUAUUCCUGUACUUGGUGUUACUGCGAAGGGGGGACGGAGAAGGCUAUGUUGGCCGGGCGACGGUUGUCCCGGUUUAAGCGUGUAGGCUGGUUUUCCAGGCAAAUCCGGAAAAUCAAGGCUGAGGCGUG